UGCAGAUUUUUGACUUUGAGCUUAGUGACAAGGAUAUGAAGACUGUGAGCAGUUACAACCAUAAUUAUAGGGCUUGCCACUUAACAUGGGUUAAAGACCACAUAUAUUAUCCAUUUAAGGAAGAAUUUUAGAAGGAAAGGGUCCAUAGUGACAAUUGUAUGGACUACUUUGCAAAAGGAUCGCUUGUUUUGAAAAUGUACUGGAUACAUUCCUUCAUGAGUAGUAUGAGUUAAAUUGUUUUGCUUACGUGACCUGAUGAAAUGCUAUAGCACAAAUCUGUACUUAGAUUGAGAUCAAGACAAAAUGAGAAAUAUGGAAAAUAGUGCAAUCAAAUUGGUAACAAAAAUCAAAAUAUUGUUUAUUUUUUAGAUAUAAGCAGUCGUUUUUUUUUUAUAAUGACUGAUUAUGAGCAUCAUAUGAUUGUCUCAUUAUACAUUGUAGAUAAAUGAUAGAUUACCUUUUAAAAUAGUUGAACUAUGGGCUGCUGCUCAGUGAACUUGAUAUCAGUGGCUUUUGCCUAAAACCAAAGUGCAGGUAUUAUUUUACCUUGCAUAUCUAGUUUAAAAGUGCCAUUCUUAUCUUUGAACUUGUAAUGUCAAAAUCAUGGAUAGAUGCAGAUUUUCUGUAUCAAAACUUUAUCAAUACCAUUUUUAUUCCAGGUUUUGACUUGAAAUUAUGUUUAUAUUUAGAAUUGUGUAAAUCAUUGAUCUGUCCUUGAUUUUAUUUAUAAUUUGUGGAAAUUAAAUGUGUUGAUUGAUUGUAA